rnacentral:rRNA from 1 species
CCUACGGGUGGCAGCAGUGAGGAAUAUUGGUCAAUGGCCGAGAGGCUGAACCAGCCAAGUCGCGUGAGGGAAGACGGCCCUACGGGUUGUAAACCUCUUUUGUCGGGGAGCAAAGCGAGUCACGUGUGACUCAUUGAGAGUACCCGAAGAAAAAGCAUCGGCUAACUCCGUGCCAGCAGCCGCGGUAAUACGGGGGAUGCGAGGGUUAUCCGGAUUUAUGGGGUUAAAGGGGUGCGCAGGCGGAGGUGCAAGUCAGCGGUAAAAUUGCGGGGCCAAACCCCGUACUGCCGUUGAAACUGCAUCCCUUGAGUGCGCGAGAGGUAUGCGGAAUGCGUGGUGUAGCGGUGAAAUGCAUAGAUAUCACGCAGAACUCCGAUUGCGAAGGCAGCAUACCGGCGCGCAACUGACGCUCAUGCACGAAAGCGUGGGUAUCGAACAGGAUUAGAUACCCCGGUAGUC